UAGGGAAUCUUCGGCAAUGGGGGCAACCCUGACCGAGCAACGCCGCGUGAGUGAAGAAGGUUUUCGGAUCGUAAAGCUCUGUUGUAAGAGAAGAACGUGUGUGAGAGUGGAAAGUUCACACAGUGACGGUAUCUUACCAGAAAGGGACGGCUAACUACGUGCCAGCAGCCGCGGUAAUACGUAGGUCCCGAGCGUUGUCCGGAUUUAUUGGGCGUAAAGCGAGCGCAGGCGGUUUGAUAAGUCUGAAGUUAAAGGCUGUGGCUCAACCAUAGUACGCUUUGGAAACUGUCAAACUUGAGUGCAGAAGGGGAGAGUGGAAUUCCAUGUGUAGCGGUGAAAUGCGUAGAUAUAUGGAGGAACACCGGUGGCGAAAGCGGCUCUCUGGUCUGUAACUGACGCUGAGGCUCGAAAGCGUGGGGAGCAAACAGG
rnacentral:rRNA from 1 species